rnacentral:rRNA from 1 species
GUAGGGAAUAUUGGACAAUGGGGGGAACCCUGAUCCAGCCAUGCCGCGUGUGUGAAGAAGGCCUUUUGGUUGUAAAGCACUUUAAGCGAGGAGGAGGCUACCGAGAUUAAUACUCUUGGAUAGUGGACGUUACUCGCAGAAUAAGCACCGGCUAACUCUGUGCCAGCAGCCGCGGUAAUACAGAGGGUGCAAGCGUUAAUCGGAUUUACUGGGCGUAAAGCGCGCGUAGGUGGCCAAUUAAGUCAAAUGUGAAAUCCCCGAGCUUAACUUGGGAAUUGCAUUCGAUACUGGUUGGCUAGAGUAUGGGAGAGGAUGGUAGAAUUCCAGGUGUAGCGGUGAAAUGCGUAGAGAUCUGGAGGAAUACCGAUGGCGAAGGCAGCCAUCUGGCCUAAUACUGACACUGAGGUGCGAAAGCAUGGGGAGCAAACAGGAUUAGAAACCCUGGUAGUCC